GGUUCCAUGGAGUAAUUGGUCAUCUCGUCACCCUGUCAAGGUGAAGAUUACGGGUUCAAAUCCCGUUGGAACCGCCA
rnacentral:tRNA from 1 species